AUACGGAGGAUGCAAGCGUUAUCCGGAUUUAUUGGGUUUAAAGGGUGCGUGGGCGGAUGAUUAAGCGUGAGGUGAAAUGCCACUGCUCAACAGUGGAACUGCCUCGCGAACUGGUUGUCUUGAAUGCUCCUGCCGUGGGAGGAAUGUGUGGUGUAGCGGUGAAAUGCAUAGAGAUCACACAGAACACCGAUUGCGAAGGCAUCUCACGAAGGGGUGAUUGACGCUGAGGCACGAAAGCGUGGGGAUCAAACAGGAUUAGAUACCCUGGUAGUCCACGCAGUAAACGAUGAUAACUAACCGCUGGGUCGUAGUGAUUCAGUGGCCAAGCGAAAGCGAUAAGUUAUCCACCUGGGGAGUACGACCGCAAGGUUGAAACUUAAAGGAAUUGACGGGG
rnacentral:rRNA from 1 species